rnacentral:rRNA from 1 species
UGGGGAAUUGUUCGCAAUGGGCGCAAGCCUGACGACGCAACGCCGCGUGGAGGAUGAAGAAUUUCGGUUCGUAAACUCCUGUCGAGCGGGACGAAAGAUGCGCGGGUUAAUACCCCGCGCAAGUGACGGUACCGCUAAAGGAAGCCCCGGCUACCUCCGUGCCAGCAGCCGCGGUAAUACGUAGGGGGCAAGCGUUGUCCGGAUUUAUUGGGCGUAAAGAGCUCGUCGGCGGUUUGGUAAGUCGGAUGUGAAAUCUCCAGGCUCAACCUGGAGGGGUCAUUCGAUACUGCCAUGACUAGAGGUCGGUAGGGGAGUGUGGAAUUCCUGGUGGAGCGGUGAAAUGCGCAGAUAUCAGGAGGAACACCCGUAGCGAAGGCGGCACUCUGGGCCGAUACUGACACUGAGGAGCGAAAGCGUGGGGAGCGAA